GCCUGCACAGGAAAAUGCAUUAUCCCGUGAGGUUAUCUUAAGACGCCCGCACGGGAUAAUGCAUUUUCCCGUGCGGGC
rnacentral:pre_miRNA from 11 species